GGUGGGGUUUAGGAUUUAGGGUUUAGGGUUUAGAGUUUAGGGUUUAGAUUUUAGAUUUUAAGGUUAAGGGUUUAGGGUUUAGGGUUUAGGGUUUAGAGUUUAGGGUUUAGGGUUUAGAGUUAAGAAAUGAGGUUUUGGGGAUAAGAUUUCAAAUUUUGAAAAAUAAAAAAAUUAAAAUUUUCAAAGUUCAAAGGAUAAACUUAAAAAUGUGCUAUUUUGGUCAUUUUAAUUUUUAAGUGCUAUUUUUGUGAUAUAAACUUAGAAAUGUGCUAUUUUGGAGAUUUGUCCUUACAUUUAUAAUCAAUGAACACAGACAAAUAUCUUUUGUACCAUUAUGUCGCCACUACAAAUAAUAUUCCAGUGAAGGCAAAAAACAUUCUCUUGCCUAUCCUGCUUUGAAAAGGAAAUGCAAACCGAUGUGUCGCAGACGUGUCACUAUAAAUUCCCAAGUGUCAAAAAGUUAACAGCGAUUCGUAAUCUGUAUUGUGCGAUUCCACGUUUCUUACGAGCAUAUCACACUCCUUGGCGAGGUCAGUAGAAGGCGGAAACGAGUCCAAAAUCUCAUCAAUUUUGUUCCCACACCUAUAAAAAACCAACGAUCUCUCGUUCCCUUAUCAAACUCAAAUCAAUCUUCUGUGUUUUUCAUUUGCCCUUCUACGCUUGAUUGAGCGGUUUAUUUGAAAAAAAAUGAUUAAUGUCUGCGAUUUUUU
rnacentral:lncRNA from 1 species